GUAACUAUAACAAUGAACUAUCCGCUUUUAUGUCUUUAACAUAAUUUUUAGGCAAACAUAUCUUCAAAACAAAGAAAGUUCUUAAGUGAUUUUUAUUUUAGGCAACCAUAAUCCUAAAGUUCUCAGUACUAUUUUAAUUUUCGCGGCUUUGGGGCGUGCGCAUGGUAGAACUAGUUUCUAUAGCAAUUAGCAACAGUCAUGGUUGAAAAUGGCGGAGAAACUCUGGCAAGGAGAGAUGCUGAGACUUUGGAAGUAAUUGGAACAGAGAUGUCCUUAGGAUGAGAGGCCAGUCUCCCCAGGAGGGGAUAGUAUGACGAGUAGUUUAGACUGUAAUCUCAUGAUAGAGUCGCUCCAAAGAGAGUUGGACAUAGUCGCUAGUCCGGUUGGAGCAUGAAGCCAUAGUCCUGCAACAGAUACUAUAAAUACUGGAGCAGGAGGAGGAGGAGAAGGAGAGGAAAGGUGAGAGGUGAUGCUUGCUGUAGGGAAUACGUUUUACCGAUUUCAUUACAGACCUGGCCAUAAUGCCACUGAUGAUGUCAUGGCCCUGAUCAACCGUGGAGCAGGGAUA